CAGUCGCCGCGGUAACACGAAGGGGGCUAGCGUUGUUCGGAAUUACUGGGCGUAAAGCGCACGUAGGCGGAUAUUUAAGUCAGGGGUGAAAUCCCAGAGCUCAACUCUGGAACUGCCUUUGAUACUGGGUAUCUUGAGUAUGGAAGAGGUGAGUGGAAUUCCGAGUGUAGAGGUGAAAUUCGUAGAUAUUCGGAGGAACACCAGUGGCGAAGGCGGCUCACUGGUCCAUCACUGACGCUGAGGCACGAAAGCGUGGGGAGCAAACAGGAUUAGAUACCCGGGUAGUCCCUGUCUCUUAUAC
rnacentral:rRNA from 1 species